rnacentral:lncRNA from 1 species
AGAUUCCCCCUUCUAUGUCUCCAAGACAGAAGAACAGCAAAAUAUGCCUGGUCGACCGUCGGAGGAUGGGAGAGCUAAGAGGAGCAGGCCCUGACCCGGAUUCGACCCUACAGGUCCCUUCCGAGAACCCUCACCAGGUGUACCAUAACCCUGAGGAUCCAACCUUGCGCACCCUGGACUUCAGAGACCCUCCACGGGUGAAUCCUGACCUGGCAGGCAAUGGCCAGAAGGCAAAGGUUAGAAGGCAAAGAUCUGUUUGUUUCCGCUGCCCUGUGGGGGCCGCUUGUGCAAGGCUGAGGGGUAGAUACAGCCCCUCCUUCAUCCAGUUCCUGUUCCACCUCCCCGGUGUUCCACAGCAAAGGUUCCUGGACCUGUUGGUGAUCCCUCGGCGACUCUGCCAUCUGAGAUCCAGUCUGGGGGCUGGGGAAAGGCUCAGUGAUUAAGAGUGCUUUCUAUGUGCGUAUGGAGCCCUAAGUUUGGAUCCCUGCACGCACACCAAAAAGCAGGCAAAUGUGCUUGCUGCCAAGCUGGAGGACCUGAGUUUGAUCCUUGGAACCCUCACGGUGGAAGAAGAGAGUUGACUACUGGAGUUGUCCACUAUAGAAGGCACAGAUCACACCCCAACACAUACAUAACACACAUACAAUAAAGAAAUAGAAGUCAAGUUCUUAAAUUAAAUAGGAAUUUAAUUUUAGCAUAAGCAUGGACGGAGUCUAUGGGAGCACAGACUCCUCAGUC